rnacentral:pre_miRNA from 9 species
UUUCGAUAGCGUAAAAGUUAACUCUGAUUUGUAUGGGGUUGGAUCGUUUGCCUACGUUUGCCGCUAGGGGCGCUGUUCCAACUGCAUACAAAAUUGACUUAACUUUUACGCUAUCGA